AUGAGCGAUGAGCUAAUGGAGUUGCUAUACUUCAUUGCAAGUAGUCAAAAGGAAGACGCUAAAAAAUCGAUCUCAACAAGGAUGCUCUUCAAGCUAGCCGGACGAAGGAAGGAACCAGUGAGGCCGCUCCUUCUACAUGUAGUAAUGAAGCCGAGACCCCAAUUUGUUCGGUACCAUUUAACUGGAAUUAACCGAUGCAAGUCCAAGAAGGAUUGGCCGGUGCUGCCGGCUGGCGUCAAGUUCGAUCCCACGGAUCAGGAGCUGAUUGAGCACCUUGAGGCCAAAGUGAGUGCUGACAACGCGAGAUCUCACCCUCUCAUCGAUUUGUUCAUACCAACCAUCGACAGCGAGCACGACAUAUGCUACAUCCAUCCUGAGAAACUUCCAGGUAUCACACUGAGUGGCCUAAGCAAGCAUUUCUUCCAGCGCAACUCCAGGGCAUUCAAAAGGGGCACACAGACGCGUCACAAGAUACAGUCGGAGUGCGGCAUGCACGCGAUGUGGCACAAGACCGGCAAUACCUUGCGGGUGAUGGUCAACGGCCGGCAGACGGGCAGCAAAAAGGUUCUGGUGCGGCACACCAACAAGAACUUCGACCGGCAAAGGACCAACUGGGUGAUGCACCAGUACCACCUCGGGGACCUAGAGCAGGAGAAGGAGCGGGAGCUGGUCCUCUGCAAGAUUUUCUACCAGACGAACACUAGGGCCAAGACUAAAAAGAUUAUAAGUUAG
rnacentral:rRNA from 1 species